rnacentral:rRNA from 1 species
UACGGAGGGUGCAAGCGUUAAUCGGAAUUACUGGGCGUAAAGCGCACGUAGGUGGUUUGCUAAGUCAGCUGUGAAAUCCCCGGGCUUAACCUGGGCACUGCAGUUGAAACUGGCAAGCUAGAGUAGGGUAGAGGGGUGUGGAAUUCCAGGUGUAGCGGUGAAAUGCGUAGAUAUCUGGAGGAACACCGGUGGCGAAGGCGGCAUUCUGGACUGCAACUGACACUGAAAGACGAAAGCCAGGGGAGCAAAUGGG